GGAGAAUAGGAGGGGACUGCAUAAAGAACUAAUGAGAAUAGACGAACAGCAUGGGAAAGCAGUUUCCACCCAGCAAAACUGAAAAUGCCCAAAUAAAAGAGAAUCUCAGAAGAACCUGCUGACUGGAAAAUCCCAAAAAUCACAGCUUGUAAGCAAUACCCUGAAAAGAAGCAAGACUGAUACAGUAACAGCCCCAACAAAUGGUUAAAGCACUGAACGCUCCAGGACCGGAAUCAGGUCUCUAGGGUAGGAGUCGUCUGUCGCAGACCCCAUGAGCUGCCAUCAUUUCAGCAUCAGGU